UACAGAGGGGGCAAGCGUUGUUCGGAAUUACUGGGCGUAAAGGGCGCGUAGGCGGCCUGCUAAGUCGAACGUGAAAUCCCUGGGCUCAACCCAGGAACUGCGUCCGAUACUGGUUGGCUUGAAUCCGGGAGAGGGAUGUGGAAUUCCAGGUGUAGCGGUGAAAUGCGUAGAUAUCUGGAGGAACACCGGUGGCGAAGGCGACAUCCUGGACCGGUAUUGACGCUGAGGCGCGAAAGCCAGGGGAGCGAACGGG
rnacentral:rRNA from 1 species